CUGGCAGAAUUUGCACAAUGAGCACCUACUCUUGGAUUUUUGCUGGGUUCACACAGAGGUGCUGGAAGAAGAAAAUAAACCAAAACAAGAGCUGAAAGAAGAAAAUAAACCAAAACAAGAGAUUUGAAAAAUCUCUUCUCAUUGUUUCACUAGAUGAAUGAAUUAGUCAUCCACUUGGUGAAAAUCCUAUUUACGCAUAUGAUCAGGACCCAAGCUAAAAGAGCCUUCAGAGAAGUCUAACCUUGGAAUGGACCAUUUCUUCUGCUUGCAUGCACAGACAGAGCUCCAGUUGCCUGUGGAUGAGAAGAGUCCUUCAGAGGAAUAUUUGGGACCAAGUGAGCUGAAAUGUUGAAGUGAAGUCUUUGGAGUUCAGCAAAGAAGAGGCCAGAAUCCCCAGGAGGUCCUGC